rnacentral:rRNA from 1 species
CCUACGGGUGGCUGCAGUGGGGAAUAUUGCACAAUGGGGGAAACCCUUAUCCAGCGACGCCGCGUGAGGGAAGAAGGUUUUCGGAUUGUAAACCUCUGUCAGUGGGGACGAUAAUGACGGUACCCACGGAGUAAGCCACGGCUAACUACGUGCCAGCAGCCGCGGUAAUACGUAGGUGGCAAGCGUUGUCCGGAAUUACUGGGUGUAAAGGGAGCGUAGGCGGGAUGUCAAGUCAGAAGUGAAAAUUAUGGGCUCAACCAUGAGAGUGCGGUGCAAACUGGAGACCUUGAGUGCGGGAAAGGCAGGCGGAAUUCGUGGUGUAGGGGUGAAAUGCUUAGAGAUCACGAAGAACCCCGAUUGCGAAGGCAGCCUGCCGGAGCGUAACUGACGCUGAAGCUCGAAAGCGCGGGUAUCGAACAGGAUUAGAUACCCGAGUAGUC